AGCUCUGGCUGUUCUGUAAAAGCCACCAUGCCCGGCCUAAGUCUAUAUAAUGUUUGGACAGGACACACAGCCUGUGAAGAGUUGGAUGUGAAAAAUAAAGAGUCAUUGAGAAAAUGCUGCCUCA
rnacentral:antisense_RNA from 1 species